rnacentral:tRNA from 1 species
UCCCUGGUGGCUCAGAAGUUAAAGCAUCUGCCUCCAAUGCGGGAGACCCAGGUUUGAUCCCUGGUUCGGGAA